rnacentral:rRNA from 1 species
GUUAAGUGAUCCACCUGGGGAGUACGCCGGCAACGGUGAAACUCAAAGGAAUUGACGGGGGCCCGCACAAGCGGAGGAACAUGUGGUUUAAUUCGAUGAUACGCGAGGAACCUUACCCGGGUUUGAACGCAUUUCGACCGCUCUGGAAACAGAGCCUCUAGCAAUAGCGAUUUGCGAGGUGCUGCAUGGUUGUCGUCAGCUCGUGCCGUGAGGUGUCGGCUUAAGUGCCAUAACGAGCGCAACCCUUGCCACUAGUUACUAACAGGUGAUGCUGAGGACUCUGGUGGGACUGCCAGCGUAAGCUGCGAGGAAGGCGGGGAUGACGUCAAAUCAGCACGGCCCUUACAUCCGGGGCGACACACGUGUUACAAUGGCGUGGACAAAGGGAAGCCACCUGGCGACAGGGAGCGAAUCCCCAAACCACGUCUCAGUUCGGAUCGGAGUCUGCAACCCGACUCCGUGAAGCUGGAUUCGCUAGUAAUCGCGCAUCAGCCAUGGCGCGGUGAAUACGUUCCCGGGCCUUGUACACACCGCCCGUCAAGCCAUGGGAGCCGGGGGUACCUGAAGUCCGUAACCGCGAGGAUCGGCCUAGGGUAAAACUGGUGACUGGGGCUAAGUCGUAACAAGGUAGCCGUACCGGAAGGUGCGGCUGGAACACCUCCUUUCUGGAGC